rnacentral:rRNA from 1 species
CCUACGGGGGGCAGCAGUGAGGAAUAUUGGUCAAUGGGCGAGAGCCUGAACCAGCCAAGUCGCGUGAGGGAGUACUGCCCUAUGGGUUGUAAACCUCUUUUGUCGGGGAGCAAAAGCCGGACGUGUCCGGCUGUGAGAGUACCCGAAGAAAAAGCAUCGGCUAACUCCGUGCCAGCAGCCGCGGUAAUAAGGAGGAUGCGAGCGUUAUCCGGAUUUAUUGGGGUUAAAGGGUGCGCAGGCGGAUUUUUAAGUCAGCGGUCAAAUCGUGGGGCUCAACCCCAUCCAGCCGUUGAAACUGGGGAUCUAGAGUGUGCGAGAGGUAUGCGGAAUGCGUGGUGUAGCGGUGAAAUGCAUAGAUAUCACGCAGAACCCCGAUUGCGAAGGCAGCAUACCGGUGCACAACUGACGCUCAGGCACGAAAGCGUGGGUAUCGAACAGGAUUAGAUACCCGGGUAGUC